rnacentral:misc_RNA from 1 species
CCUGAAGUAGUGAUGACGCA